GAAUCUGCCUUCUGGUCGGGGACAACCACUGGAAACGGUGGCUAAUACCGGAUGAGCCGAAGGGUAAAAGAUUAAUUGCCAGAAGAGGAGCUCGCGUCUGAUUAGCUAGUUGGUGGGGUAAAAGCCUACCAAGGCAUCGAUCAGUAGCUGGUCUGAGAGGACGAUCAGCCACACUGGGACUGAGACACGGCCCAGACUCCUACGGGAGGCAGCAGUGGGGAAUUUUCCGCAAUGGGCGAAAGCCUGACGGAGCAAGACCGCGUGAGGGAAGAAGGCUCUUGGGUCGUAAACCUCUUUUGUCAGGGAAGAACACAAUGACGGUACCUGACGAAUCAGCCUCGGCUAACUCCGUGCCAGCAGCCGCGGUAAUACGGAGGAGGCAAGCGUUAUCCGGAAUUAUUGGGCGUAAAGCGUCCGCAGGUGGCGAUUCAAGUCUGCGGUCAAAGACUGGGGCUUAACCCUGGAAAGGCCGUGGAAACUGAAAAGCUAGAGUGCAGUAGGGGUAGAGGGAAUUCCCGGUGUAGCGGUGAAAUGCGUAGAGCUCGGGAAGAACAUCGGUGGCGAAAGCGCUCUGCUGGACUGCAACUGACACUCAGGGACGAAAGCUAGGGGAGCG
rnacentral:rRNA from 1 species